rnacentral:rRNA from 1 species
AACGUAGGAGACGAGUGUUAUUCGGAUUUACUGGGCGUAAAGCGCGUGCAGGCGGUUUGGAAAGUUGGAUGUGAAAGCUCCUGGCUUAACUGGGAGAGGUCGUUCAAUACUACCAGACUAGAGGAUAUGAGAGGGAGGUGGAAUUCCGAGUGUAGUGGUGAAAUGCGUAGAUAUUCGGAGGAACACCAGUGGCGAAAGCGGCCUCCUGGCAUAUUUCUGACGCUCAGACGCGAAAGCUAGGGUAGCAAACGGG